rnacentral:rRNA from 1 species
ACGAACGCUGGCGGCGUGCCUAAUACAUGCAAGUAGAACGCUGAAGAGAGGAGCUUGCUCUUCUUGGAUGAGUUGCGAACGGGUGAGUAACGCGUAGGUAACCUGCCUUGUAGCGGGGGAUAACUAUUGGAAACGAUAGCUAAUACCGCAUAACAAUGGAUGACACAUGUCAUUUAUUUGAAAGGGGCAAUUGCUCCACUACAAGAUGGACCUGCGUUGUAUUAGCUAGUAGGUGAGGUAAUGGCUCACCUAGGCGACGAUACAUAGCCGACCUGAGAGGGUGAUCGGCCACACUGGGACUGAGACACGGCCCAGACUCCUACGGGAGGCAGCAGUAGGGAAUCUUCGGCAAUGGGGGCAACCCUGACCGAGCAACGCCGCGUGAGUGAAGAAGGUUUUCGGAUCGUAAAGCUCUGUUGUAAGUCAAGAACGGGUGUGAGAGUGGAAAGUUCACACUGUGACGGUAGCUUACCAGAAAGGGACGGCUAACUACGUGCCAGCAGCCGCGGUAAUACGUAGGUCCCGAGCGUUGUCCGGAUUUAUUGGGCGUAAAGCGAGCGCAGGCGGUUUGAUAAGUCUGAAGUUAAAGGCUGUGGCUCAACCAUAGUUCGCUUUGGAAACUGUCAAACUUGAGUGCAGAAGGGGAGAGUGGAAUUCCAUGUGUAGCGGUGAAAUGCGUAGAUAUAUGGAGGAACACCGGUGGCGAAAGCGGCUCUCUGGUCUGUAACUGACGCUGAGGCUCGAAAGCGUGGGGAGCGAACAGGAUUAGAUACCCUGGUAGUCCACGCCGUAAACGAUGAGUGCUAGGUGUUGGAUCCUUUCCGGGAUUCAGUGCCGCAGCUAACGCAUUAAGCACUCCGCCUGGGGAGUACGACCGCAAGGUUGAAACUCAAAGGAAUUGACGGGGGCCCGCACAAGCGGUGGAGCAUGUGGUUUAAUUCGAAGCAACGCGAAGAACCUUACCAGGUCUUGACAUCCCGAUGCUAUUUCUAGAGAUAGAAAGUUACUUCGGUACAUCGGUGACAGGUGGUGCAUGGUUGUCGUCAGCUCGUGUCGUGAGAUGUUGGGUUAAGUCCCGCAACGAGCGCAACCCCUAUUGUUAGUUGCCAUCAUUCAGUUGGGCACUCUAGCGAGACUGCCGGUAAUAAACCGGAGGAAGGUGGGGAUGACGUCAAAUCAUCAUGCCCCUUAUGGCCUGGGCUACACACGUGCUACAAUGGUUGGUACAACGAGUUGCGAGUCGGUGACGGCGAGCUAAUCUCUUAAAGCCAAUCUCAGUUCGGAUUGUAGGCUGCAACUCGCCUACAUGAAGUCGGAAUCGCUAGUAAUCGCGGAUCAGCACGCCGCGGUGAAUACGUUCCCGGGCCUUGUACACACCGCCCGUCACACCACGAGAGUUUGUAACACCCGAAGUCGGUGAGGUAACCUUUUGGAGCCAGCCGCCUAAGGUGGGACAGAUGAUUGGGGUG